CCUGGUCAAUAUUCCUCUUAUCGAGUCCACAAAAAAAUAACGCUGACUGAUGAAAUUGAGAGCUGUUUUGAUUUUAUCCCAUAAAUCGUAAUCGCUUCUGACUCCAUCGUCCAUGGUGAACAAGUUGCACAACCGUUUCUUUCCCCACAGUCGGCCUCCACCGAUUCGCCAACGCCUUCCUCCUCUAGCAUCGGCCGUCCCUGCAACUCCGAUGGUGAGAAGAAAACGAGAUUGAAUUUCAUGUGAUGGAGUUCAGUGAAUCAAACCUGAGCAUGGGAGAAUGAUGUUUGCAGGGGGCAGUGGAGCUUGUGGAAGAAAUGCCAGAAUUUGGUUCAGUUUUGAAUAAAUUUUGAUUUAUUUUGUUUGUUUUCGUAAAUGCAAGUGAGUAGGUCUAAAAUUGUUCAUUUUCUUUUUUAGAUUAUGGUUUAUGGACAUAAUUGAACAUUUUUAGAGUUUCAUCUAAUUACCCAUGUAUCUUUUUUUUAUCCAAAUACUUUUGUUUUGUC